rnacentral:rRNA from 1 species
GUCUAAGGCUAUACCACCCUGAACACGCCCGAUCUCGUCUGAUCUCGGAAGCUAAGCAGGGUUGGGCCUGGUUAGUACUUGGAUGGGAGAAAAAGUACUGUGCACU